CGGGUAGAGUAACGCGUGAGUAACCUGCCUUACACAAGGGGAUAGCCUUUGGAAACGAAGAAUAAUACCCUAUAAAACCAUAAAAGCACAUGCUAGAAUGGUCAAAGUGAUAGCGGUGUAAGAUGGACUUGCGUCUGAUUAGCUAGUUGGUGAGAUAAAAGCUCACCAAGGCAACGAUCAGUAGCCGGCUUGAGAGAGUGUACGGCCACAUUGGGACUGAGACACGGCCCAG
rnacentral:rRNA from 1 species